ACCAGUAGUCCUCAUAGAGACCAACUCCUGGCCACAGAAGAAGCCCUCCUGCUGUGCAAACGGGUCCCGGCCUGGGAGACGUGGAGUCCACGCCUGUGCUGAAGCCAUUCUCAGUAAAUCAUUCCAUGAAUUAAUCGUGACCCUGAGCUUCAUCCACAAGUGCGAGCAAGUGAUCAGGAGACUCAAGUAAUGUCUUCAUGACCCAAUUUUAAAAGGAGAGGAUUAUUCACCAACUCAUCAGUGUCAUCCCAGUAUCACCAUGUUCAGGGUUCCACAAAAACCCAGGAACGUCUGUCUGAAAAGGUCAAAUGGCGCCAAUUGAGUUCAACACCGUGCUGUGUCAGUAGGUUAACUGUGUCCCUAUGUGUUCUACCUAUCACACCUGCCAAUCAGAGGGACAUCAAUCAACACCGACCGGUGUCAAGUGGCGUGGAGCAGAGAAAGUGCUCAUCCCUCUGACUGUAAACUGUCACCCAGUGUCAGACAUAUGCAGUGUUUUUUCUGUCUUAACCACACAAAGUGGUCGGUUGUGGAAAAUGCUGCGCAGAUUGAUUGAGCUCCGUUUGUCCCCAUCAUGGCUGCAUAUACCCUCUCUGUCUUUUCUCUCCCUAUCCUGUCCAGGUAAAGUGGAGAAUUGGCUUCAGGUGAUUUGGAGAAGAUCUUAUCUUCUGUUAACAGAGGAAUGACACCAUAAUGGAGCAGCAGGGGUGCAAUUACCUCUCGGGC